rnacentral:misc_RNA from 1 species
CAACCCUCAAGCACUGCUUGGUCUUGGGCUCCGCUGGGUGACCAGCGCGCCUUAAAAUCAGUGGCGGCGCCGUCGGGCUCUGAGCGUAGUAAACAUCCUCGCUACAGGGACCCGGUGGACGCUGGCCAGCAACCCCAACUCUCUAA